ACGGCUCAGUUGAACCCGUCUUCUCCCUCAGCUCCACUCCCAACCGGCAACCCACCAUUCCCACGCAAACAAAUGCUCCUCUCACUCUCCCCACACCCUUCCUUUCUCCUCUCCCUCCCCGCCACUUCCGCCUCCAAGCCCCGCGCCCGCCUCCGUCCUGUCCACGCCUCCGCCUCCGCGUCCCCCUCGCCGGAGCUCCUCGGCAAGUCGGCGCUCCGCCGCAUCUCCGACAAGCUCCGCGGCCUCGGAUACCUCGAGACCGGCUCCGAGACCCCCGCUCCGGCCCCGGACACGAGCGGGGACGCCGCCUCCGCCGGCGAGAUCUUCGUGCCCACCCCGGCCCAGCUCCCGCGCCACCGCGUCGGCUCCACCCUAGACCCGAGCUGGGCCACGGCCGACGGCGAGGCCGGCCCCGCUGCGCGGCGGCAGCGGAGGGGGCGCGGGAGGGAUGCUGCUUCGGCGCCGCCGUCCGCGGCGGAGCUGGCGCUGCCGCGGGACGAGCUGCGGCGGCUGCAGGGGAUCGGGAUCAGGGUGAGGAAGAGGCUCAAAGUCGGGAAGGCGGGCAUCACGGAGGGGAUCGUGAACGGGAUACACGAGCGGUGGCGGAACGCGGAGGUCGUUAAGAUCAGGUUCGAGGACGUCUGGGCUAUGAACAUGAGGCGCACGCACGAGAUGCUCGAGAGGAAAACUGGAGGCUUAGUCAUUUGGAGGUCUGGGAGUACCAUCAUAUUAUAUAGAGGGACCAACUAUAAGUAUCCUUACUUCCAUUACAGAGAAGAAAGUAUGGAUGGUUUUCUUGACGAAGAAUCAUCAGAGCAGAGCAGCUCGGGGGAUGAGGAUGAAGAUCUUGGUAUAGAAUCAGCGGCGCUGAGUAGCAGUAGGGAGGAGGAUGAGACUAGUUUUCAACAUGAUAGCAGUUAUGAAAGUAGUGAGAAUCCUGUUAUAGAAUGUGCAGAACAGAGGAGUACAGGAGAGGGAAAGAACCAUACCGUAGGAGAUUUGAGCCAGAGCUUAAGCAGAGAGAAAGAUACAACUCAUCCAAUAUUAUCUACCAAACGGCUUCUUUUUGAUACACAUGAGGGAAAUUUGGACAUUAGAACUGCAGCUCCAAAUGAACAGCAUGCGAGAUUGCACGGAAACACUCAUGCUGAUCGUCAUGGUAAAGUUGGUCCUAGAGAUCGGUCAUCCUUAGUGGCUGGUGUUGGUUCUCCAAAUAAGUUCCGAUUACAGUUGCCUGGGGAGGUCAAACUUGCAGAGGAAGCUAAUAAAUUACUGGAUGGGUUGGGCCCAAGGUUUUAUGGUUGGUGGGGGUAUGAUCCCCUUCCAGUGGAUGCUGAUUUAUUACCAGCUAUUGUGCCAGGAUACCGUAGACCUUUUCGCCUUCUUCCUUCUGGUGUGCCGUCUAAGCUAACAGACAGGGAAAUGACUAUCCUUAGGAGACUAGCUCAUCCCUUGCCCUUCCACUAUGCACUUGAUUCUUGUGUCCACUUUCCAGGAAGAAGCAGUAACCUUCAAGGAUUGGCUGCAUCCAUGAUCAAGCUAUGGGAAAGAUGUGAGGUAGCGAAGAUUGCAAUCAAGAGAGAUGCAAACAACACUGAUAGUGAACUCAUCACUGAAGAAUUAAAGGGAUUGACAGGUGGAACUCUAUUAUCAAGGGAUAAGGAGUCGAUUGUAUUCUACAGAGGGAAAGAUUUCCUCCCCCCAGCUGUCUCUCUGGCAAUAGAAAAACGCAGAAAGUUGGGCGGUUCUACAAUCUACAAGCCCAAGCCUGACACUGAAGCAAGCACGCCUGCUCAAGAUGCUUCUGUACUGAAGGUAUCAAGUGAUGUCCCUGUACACAUUCAUGAAGAGGAAAUUUCUGUUCCAGAGAAUAGAGCAGAAUCUCUUAAUACUGUGGCCCAGAUUGUGGAGACCAGAUUAUCUCAGGCCAUAGCAGAGAAAGAGAAAGCUGAAAAACUUCUUCAAGAACUAGAAAAUGCAUCUCAGCCUUCAAAAGCUGAAACUAAAGAGGUUAUCUCGAAAGAGGAGAGGUACAUGUUGAGGAAAGUUGGAUUGAAGAUGAAACAAUUUCUGCUGCUAGGGAGGAGAGGAGUUUUUGAUGGAACUAUUGAAAAUAUGCAUCUUCAUUGGAAAUAUCGAGAACUUGUCAAGAUUGUCUGUAAAGAACACAGCCUUAAAGAUGUUGAAUAUGCUGCUCGAACUCUAGAGGCAGCGAGUGGUGGUAUUUUGGUGGCAGUGGAAAAAGUGAGCAAAGGACAUGCUAUUAUAGUAUAUCGAGGAAAGAAUUACCAGAGGCCAUCAGCUCUCAGGCCAAAAACUUUGUUGAGUAAAAGGGAUGCUUUGAAGCGUUCUAUGGAAAACCAACGUUGUAAGUCCCUGAAGGUUCAUGUGCUUAAUCUGUCAAAGAAUAUUGACUACUUGAAGGACCAGAUGAAUUCCAGCUACUAUAAAACGACCAUUCGUGAUCCUAGUGUCAACUCCAGAACAUUACAACAGAAAAAUGAAGAAGUGCCUGAAGUUGCUCCCAAGAGUUCAGAGCCAGAGGUUGAGGAGUUCGCUUCAGUUGUGAUGGAUCGAACCUUAAAUUUAACAAAGUCCGGAGUUCCUUUGGAUGACGAUGAUACACAGAGCAAAGUCUGUCUCACUAAACUUGAAGAUGACUCUUCACUGACUGCAAGUCCAUGCCUGACCGGGAGAUCUAGUGCAGUUUCAUUCAAUGAUCUGAACAGACAUCAAAACCAGCACAGCUCUACUGUGACGUUCGAUUCAGAUAGUCGUAGUGAAGGCGAUUCAAAAGAUGUGGAUGCACCAAAAUUUGAUGUGGAAUCUGAUCCUCUCUUGCCUCUGAGAGCAACACCACUCUCAAAUAAAGAAAGGCUUGUACUAAGGAAGCAAGCGCUUAAAAUGAAGAAACGGCCAGUACUUUCUAUAGGGAGGAAUAAUGUCAUCACGGGAGUUGCAAAAACAAUAAAAACACACUUCAAGAAGCAUCCUCUUGCUAUUGUGAACAUAAAGAACAGAGCGGACGGGACUCCAAUCCAGCAGCUGAUAACAGAACUGGAGGAGGCGACAGGAUCGGUUCUAGUGUCACAAGAAACGAACAAAGUGAUUUUGUACAGAGGUUGGGGAGCAGAAGUGGCCCAGAAAAGCUCAAAGGAAAAUGGUACAGAUGAAGAUAAGGAGGUGAUAUCACCUCAGCUCCUGGAGGCGAUCAGGUUAGAGUGUGGAUUGCUCCCUGACGAGUCAGGAUAGCUGAAUGCCAGAGUAACCUCCCCACAGAUCAUGUUUUGAAAAUGGAUCGUACAAUCAUCGCUCGUGGAUAAAUGGAUCAUACUCGUAUAGAGGACAUAUAUAUGCAACGAGAACUGAAGCUGCAUAAGAGCAAAGAUAAGAACACAGACAUGGCCAUGUUUAGCUGUGCUGUCGUAUCUUGUUCCAAGUAGAUCUUACUCAACUCGUCAGCAGCUAACAUCCGGCAAAAGGUAGUGCCGUCUGCUGGAAUCCGGCCAAAGACCUGCAAGGGUGAUGCACACAUGGGUCAGCACCUUUGCUUGCAUCAUCCAUCCAUCCGUCCAUUUGCCCUGGCCUUUGCAGCUUGCAGGCUGCAGACCGCGGGCGGGCAAGAACAGUGGUGCUACAUGACCUGUCGAUUUGUUUCGGCACUGCCAACACCAGCUCCCCUCCUGGCUA